CCGAAGUGCCGCGCGAGGUAUUCUCGGC
rnacentral:piRNA from 1 species